CACGUAGGAAGCGAGCGUUGUCCGGAAUCAUUGGGCGUAAAGAGCGCGCAGGCGGCUUUAUAAGUCGGGGGUGAAAGCCUGUGGCUCAACCACAGAAUUGCCUUCGAUACUGUAGAGCUUGAGACCGGAAGAGGUAAGUGGAACUGCGAGUGUAGAGGUGAAAUUCGUAGAUAUUCGCAAGAACACCAGUGGCGAAGGCGGCUCACUGGCCCGAUACUGACGCUGAGGUGCGAAAGCGUGGGGGAGCAAACAGG
rnacentral:rRNA from 1 species